GACGUAGGGUGCGAGCGUUGUCCGGAUUUAUUGGGCGUAAAGAGCUCGUAGGCGGCUCGUCGCGUCAGCUGUGAAAACCCGCGGCUUAACUGUGGGCUUGCAGCUGAUACGGGCGGGCUAGAGUUCGGUAGGGGAGACUGGAAUUCCUGGUGUAGCGGUGAAAUGCGCAGAUAUCAGGAGGAACACCGGUGGCGAAGGCGGCAUCCUGGACCGACAUUGACGCUGAGGAGCGAAAGCCAGGGGAGCAAACGGG
rnacentral:rRNA from 1 species